UCGGAAACGAGUUAAGAUAAAAUAUAAGAAGAGGAAAGUAUUCCCAAUUAUGUUUUCAUUUAAUUGGUAGACGCGACAAAAAAAAGUAUAAUAUAUUGGGAGAGAUAGUUCAGUCUCACCCACAUUCUCUUUGCCCUGUGCCUCGCUCGGUUGUUAAUUGCCAAUAUUACGAUCUUGAGCUGGAUGACAAAAAAAUAAAAAUACAUUUUAUUUUUUUGAUCAACGGGCUAAAACAAUUAGACUUCUUUGAGUACGAGGAUAUCGCUAUUUUUAUCUCACGGUAUCGUAUUGUAAUUAGAACGUCUCAUAUCAUAUCGUAUAAUUCGGCCUUUAUUUCAAGAAAAAGAAGAGAAGU
rnacentral:snoRNA from 1 species